UGGGGGUGUGGUACGCAGGCUCCACAGCUGAGGACAGGAAGACUGUGCCACCCAAAAAAUUAUCGGUUGCCCUCUGCCUUCCCUGGACAACAUAUGCAGAUCCCGUUACCUCAGUAAAAUUAAGGCCAUCACAGGAGACCCCUCACAUCCCGCCUAUCACCUGUUUGACCUGUUGCCUUCUGGACAGUGCUUCAGAGCUCAGACAUCACUGCCAGGCAUACAGUAGUUCUUCGUGGCCUUCCAGUCCUGCUUGGAGACAAAAGUGCAGACUUCUUCAAGACAUGUUUGGACUCUGAUGACUACCAGGGUAUUUCUGGUGUGCUCAUUGGGAUUCUAACCAUAAUACCUGAAGACACACAGGCUUCUCCCCACUGUCUUCACCUGGAGGCCUCAA